ensembl:lncRNA
CGUGGGUGUAAAAGCACAAGUUGUCCUCUGUUGAAACAAAGGGUGUCCACCAACAUGCCUCUUUAAAAAUUAUCCGAAUACAUGUUGCGUAAAACAUAACAUCUUUGACCAAAUUUUUACUUCUAGCUUCUAAAUUAAAGACAUUUAUCCUAACCAAAAUCUUAAGUUCUUGUAGUGUGUGUUAUUACACAUCAGGAGGGCUGACAGAGAGUUUAAGUUGAUGAGGGCUGAACAGUGGCCUGUAGUCUCUAAUAGGAUGGAAACUCGUUCAUUUUUCCUUUUCUGGAACAGGAGGAGCGUUUGCGUCACUGCAGUCAGCUGUGCGAGCGCGCGCGUCUCGUGCUGCAUGUUUCACUCACGCGUGUUUAUCUUCACUUCACCAGACACUACAAAACUUUAAACUCUUCCAACUGUGAGAUAAAACACUGCUUUUCCACAGGCGCAUAGAAGAAGAGUGGAAUAAAUCUAGAAGGAAACGGGUUAAGAAGGAAACGGGGCGGAGGAAGGAGUUUGGCGUGCUGGCCUGAGACCCGGUCCAGCGGUGUGGUCUGCUUGGCCCUGCGGUCAUGUACGGUACACGAAAGACCUGGGACGUCGGCCACACCCCCUGCCUGCAGGAGCUCUGGAACAAAGACCUCUCAUUGGAUGUUUCAGCGAGUUCCCUGGAUAUCCUAAUGAGUGAUGGUGAGGAGGAGAGCUCCUUCCUCUCGUUGCCCAACUCUGUCCUUCAGCGCCACUGUUUGACCUCUGACCUCUCUGAAACCGCCACCUCAGAACAGCAGCAGCUGCUCAUACAGGUGUGACCCUAUAAUACUACUCUAGUAUUAACCUGGGCAAUUAAUAUUACAAUUAUUAAGGGAAGCAUCACUGUUACAACUGCUUAUAACUGGGUUUAGGGAUUUACUGCAACACAUUAUUUUCAGAUUAUGUAUAGUAAAAUAUUUACAAGGUUUUUUUUUUUUAUACUUUUAUUUAGCAAGUAUGCAUUAAUAUGAUCAAAAGUGAAAGUAAAGACCUAUAUAAUGUUAAAAUAUUUUUUAUUCCAAAUAAAUGCCUUUUUUUUUCUUUUUUUACUUUCUAU